UACAGAGGGGGCAAGCGUUGUUCGGAAUUACUGGGCGUAAAGGGCGCGUAGGCGGCCUGUUAAGUCGAACGUGAAAUCCCCGGGCUCAACCCGGGAACUGCGUCCGAUACUGGCAGGCUUGAAUCCGGGAGAGGGAUGCGGAAUUCCAGGUGUAGCGGUGAAAUGCGUAGAUAUCUGGAGGAACACCCAUGGCGAAGGCAGCUCUCUGGCCUAUAACUGACGCUGAGGUGCGAAAGCGUGGGGAGCAAACGGG
rnacentral:rRNA from 1 species